CAAGUCGAGCGAGAACCAGGCCUUCGGGCCUGGGGACAGCGGCGAACGGGUGAGUAACACGUGAGUAAUCCACCCUUGGCACCGGAAUAGCCCGGGGAAACUCGGAUUAAUGCCGGAUGGCCCGACAGCCUCUCGGGGCGGUCGGAAAAGAUAGCUUCGGCCUUCGGCCAAGGACGAGCUCGCGGCGGAUUAGCUUGUUGGCGGGGUAACGGCCCACCAAGGCGACGAUCCGUAGCUGGUCUGAGAGGACGAUCAGCCACACUGGGACUGAGACACGGCCCAGACUCCUACGGGAGGCAGCAGUGGGGAAUCUUGCGCAAUGGGCGAAAGCCUGACGCAGCGACGCCGCGUGAGGGAAGAAGGCCUUCGGGUUGUAAACCUCUUUCAGGAGGGACGAAGCCACUCGGGUUAAUAGCCCAGAGGGUGACGGUACCUCCAGAAGAAGCCCCGGCUAACUACGUGCCAGCAGCCGCGGUAAUACGUAGGGGGCAAGCGUUGUCCGGAUUUAUUGGGCGUAAAGAGCGUGUAGGCGGCUUUACAGGUCCGCUGUGAAAACUCGAGGCUCAACCUCGAGCUGUCGGUGGAAACCGUAAAGCUAGAGUCCGGAAGAGGAGAGUGGAAUUCCCGGUGUAGCGGUGAAAUGCGCAGAUAUCGGGAAGAACACCCGUGGCGAAGGCGGCUCUCUGGGACGGUACUGACGCUGAGACGCGAAAGCGUGGGGAGCGAACAGGAUUAGAUACCCUGGUAGUCCACGCCGUAAACGAUGGGUGCUAGGUGUGGGAGGUGUCGACUCCUUCCGUGCCGAAGCUAACGCAUUAAGCACCCCGCCUGGGGAGUACGGCCGCAAGGCU
rnacentral:rRNA from 1 species